rnacentral:rRNA from 1 species
AGAGUUUGAUCCUGGCUCAGGAUGAACGCUAGCUACAGGCUUAACACAUGCAAGUCGAGGGGCAUCAGGAAGAAAGCUUGCUUUCUUUGCUGGCGACCGGCGCACGGGUGAGUAACACGUAUCCAACCUGCCCUUUACUCGGGGAUAGCCUUUCGAAAGAAAGAUUAAUACCCGAUGGCAUAAUGAUUCCGCAUGGUUUCAUUAUUAAAGGAUUCCGGUAAAGGAUGGGGAUGCGUUCCAUUAGGUUGUUGGUGAGGUAACGGCUCACCAAGCCUUCGAUGGAUAGGGGUUCUGAGAGGAAGGUCCCCCACAUUGGAACUGAGACACGGUCCAAACUCCUACGGGAGGCAGCAGUGAGGAAUAUUGGUCAAUGGGCGCUAGCCUGAACCAGCCAAGUAGCGUGAAGGAUGAAGGCUCUAUGGGUCGUAAACUUCUUUUAUAUAAGAAUAAAGUGCAGUAUGUAUACUGUUUUGUAUGUAUUAUAUGAAUAAGGAUCGGCUAACUCCGUGCCAGCAGCCGCGGUAAUACGGAGGAUCCGAGCGUUAUCCGGAUUUAUUGGGUUUAAAGGGAGCGUAGGUGGACUGGUAAGUCAGUUGUGAAAGUUUGCGGCUCAACCGUAAAAUUGCAGUUGAUACUGUCAGUCUUGAGUACAGUAGAGGUGGGCGGAAUUCGUGGUGUAGCGGUGAAAUGCUUAGAUAUCACGAAGAACUCCGAUUGCGAAGGCAGCUCACUGGACUGCAACUGACACUGAUGCUCGAAAGUGUGGGUAUCAAACAGGAUUAGAUACCCUGGUAGUCCACACAGUAAACGAUGAAUACUCGCUGUUUGCGAUAUACAGUAAGCGGCCAAGCGAAAGCAUUAAGUAUUCCACCUGGGGAGUACGCCGGCAACGGUGAAACUCAAAGGAAUUGACGGGGGCCC